UCUGGCUUUCUUCGCAAUGUCUAUUCAAAAUAAAGUUUCUCCUCAAUAAAUAUUCCAUUCAAUUAAUUUAUUCCCGCAUGAAAAAUGGAACAGAUUCUUCAGUGGAAAUUCAUUUUUUUAAAGACUUGAAUCCCCGUUCUUUCUCUCUGCAAUUAAAUCUGAAUGCUCCCCUUGAUUAUUUUAUUCCUCCUAUGAUUCAUGAUUCAUAUUUAGGCCUCGAUUCUCCUCUCGCGGUAAUAAACACAUUUUUCAGUCUGAUCACGCAGUGAUUGCAUGGACAAUCCAACAAAGGGCGUAUGGUACAUCCCACACCCAGAAAAAUAAGGAGAUAAUCGUGCAUUGGCACUCUGGAUGAUUAAAAAGCCUUGGAUAAAUAUUAAAAAAUUGGUAGGCUGCCAAAAAAAACAGUAAACAAUGAUGUAGGUCAUUUGAAUUAUUACACGCUAAAUAAAAAAUUCAUUUCCUCAGCCCAUGUUUGUCCAUCGCUUCAGCUACAUCUUCAGUUAAUUAUUCAAUUAUUGAUAGCUCCAAUUUAUCAAUUGCUCUUUAUUACAGAAUGUUUGUCUCUUUUCACAGCGAUUUAUUACCGAUGAUAACAGCGUUUCAGUGGUUUUGCGUCGAUUCUACUGGAAUCGAGGUGAUUUAUCGAGACAAUCGUCGGGCCUUGAAAUUAAUAUUGAUAAAAUUUAUAGGAAUAUCGACACUGGAGAAAUUCGAGAGAAGGUGAAGGUUCGGCAGAGAAAUAAUAAUUUUUUUUUGGGGAAAAAAGUGUCGGGACAUCAUUCUCCAAAUAAACACAUGCCAAAGUGCACAGAAUAUUCUGAUCGGAAGACGGGAUCUGAUGCUGACGAAAAAAUUCCGUGAGAAUACAUUUUUCGGUGAUUACAGGGCUGCAGGCCCUUGAGCAAUUCCAUCAGAUGUCCGGCUUGCGUGGAGAAAAAAAUUUCACGAAAAUUACCAUCAAAUGACGUAAUGACUUUUCCCCAAAAAAUUUCAAGAAUUCCAGUGAAAUUCGCGGGAUUCAAGCAAGAAAUUUUAUUAUUACCCAUUAUCUAAUGCAAAAUGUAAUAUGAUAUAAUAGAAUAGAAAUUAGAUUCAAUUAUAUAUUUUCCUUCUUUUAAUUUUUGCAAGUUUUGAAAGGGCGGGGAAAAUUUUUUGAUUAAUAAUUGCAAGUGGAGAUUCUUCAAUAUUAUUAACAACAGUUGUUCAUGUUGACUAUUCAUCUUUCCUUUCAUGUGACUGGAAUCGUGCCAA